rnacentral:rRNA from 1 species
UACGAAGGGAGCUAGCGUUGUCCGGAAUCAUUGGGCGUAAAGCGCGUGUAGGCGGCCCGGUAAGUCCGCUGUGAAAGUCGGGGGCUCAACCCUCGAAUGCCGGUGGAUACUGUCGGGCUAGAGUGCGGGAGAGGCGAGUGGAAUUCCUGGUGUAGCGGUGAAAUGCGCAGAUAUCAGGAGGAACACCAAUUGCGAAGGCAGCUCGCUGGAACGUAACUGACGCUGAGACGCGAAAGCGUGGGGAGCAAACAGG